rnacentral:rRNA from 1 species
UAGGGAAUCUUCGGCAAUGGGGGCAACCCUGACCGAGCAACGCCGCGUGAGUGAAGAAGGUUUUCGGAUCGUAAAGCUCUGUUGUAAGUCAAGAACGGGUGUGAGAGUGGAAAGUUCACACUGUGACGGUAGCUUACCAGAAAGGGACGGCUAACUACGUGCCAGCAGCCGCGGUAAUACGUAGGUCCCGAGCGUUGUCCGGAUUUAUUGGGCGUAAAGCGAGCGCAGGCGGUUUGAUAAGUCUGAAGUUAAAGGCUGUGGCUCAACAAUAGUUCGCUUUGGAAACUGUCAAACUUGAGUGCAGAAGGGGAGAGUGGAAUUCCAUGUGUAGCGGUGAAAUGCGUAGAUAUAUGGAGGAACACCGAUGGCGAAAGCGGCUCUCUGGUCUGUAACUGACGCUGAGGAUCGAAAGCGUGGGGAGCGAACAGG